AAUAUGGAAUAGGGGAGCUAGAGUAACUGGCUGAGAGGGACAAUAAGUCCGACCCUUAACCUGAUCUGGGUAAUGCCAGCGUAGGGAGGAUAGAUAAAAAAAAA
rnacentral:ncRNA from 2 species